UAGUUGUCACUGGAAAGUGCUCACAGGCAUUUGCCAUAAGCCCCAAGAAACACUCCACAGAGAGCUAUCAAAUGAAGGAUUUGUCCUGACCGGCACUCUAGCUUCCACCCUAUAUUCUGUAGGCUCAGGCAAUCUUACUAGUUCCCAUUUAGUGUGUCCAAUGAACAUUUCUCAAAGGUCAGAUUUACAUGCCUUCAGUUUUAUAGUACUAGAUAGGGAAAACAUCCCCUAGUGAGAUACAAUUCCCAUUUUCAUAGGAAAUUUAGGUAAAGGAGUCACAACUACCUUACAGAAAGCCUGUUUAAACAUCUCAGAUUUCAUAAUCCUAUCAAUCUUUACAUUUUUAUGUUCUGGUCCCAGGAACUGUUCUUCUCUACUACCAGACCAUUUUACCAUUUCUGGUGGAAAAGGAUUUGGGUUCCCAGAAUGGAGUUGAGCCAAGAUACUCAAGCCGUUUUGUCAAUCUUUACCUUAACUCACCUCGACAUUGCCCCAGAUGGAGUCUUGCUCUGUUGCCCAGACUGGAGUAGAGAUGUGAUCGGCUCUCUGCAACCUCUGCCUUCCAGGUUCAAGUGAUUCUCCUGUCUCAGCCUCCCAAGAAGCUGAGACUACAGAGACAAGAUCUCACUAUGUUACCCAGGCGGGAGUGGAGUGGCUAUUCACAGACAAGAUCAUAGCAUACUGCAGCCCUGAACUCCUGGGCCCAAGUAACCCUCCUGCUCAAGUAGCUGGAACUACCUUGUAAGGUAUGCCACCACGUCCCACUAAUUUUAUUAUUUCUUCCAGUAGUGUGUGAAAGUGCUUUAUCACGAAACCAUCAUACAUAUGUUUCUAAUAGAUUAGAUAAAAUCAUUACUGUCUAUUUUAGUUGAAAUUCUUUGAUUUAGUGAA